GUGAGUAACACGUGGGUAACCUACCUAUAAGACUGGGAUAACUCCGGGAAACCGGGGCUAAUACCGGAUAAUAUUUUGAACCGCAUGGUUCAAUAGUGAAAGACGGUUUCGGCUGUCACUUAUAGAUGGACCCGCGCCGUAUUAGCUAGUUGGUAAGGUAAUGGCUUACCAAGGCGACGAUACGUAGCCGACCUGAGAGGGUGAUCGGCCACACUGGAACUGAGACACGGUCCAGACUCCUACGGGAGGCAGCAGUAGGGAAUCUUCCGCAAUGGGCGAAAGCCUGACGGAGCAACGCCGCGUGAGUGAUGAAGGUCUUCGGAUCGUAAAACUCUGUUGUUAGGGAAGAACAAAUUUGUUAGUAACUGAACAAGUCUUGACGGUACCUAACCAGAAAGCCACGGCUAACUACGUGCCAGCAGCCGCGGUAAUACGUAGGUGGCAAGCGUUAUCCGGAAUUAUUGGGCGUAAAGCGCGCGUAGGCGGUUUCUUAAGUCUGAUGUGAAAGCCCACGGCUCAACCGUGGAGGGUCAUUGGAAACUGGGAAACUUGAGUGCAGAAGAGGAGAGUGGAAUUCCAUGUGUAGCGGUGAAAUGCGCAGAGAUAUGGAGGAACACCAGUGGCGAAGGCGG
rnacentral:rRNA from 1 species